GACGAACGCUGGCGGCGUGCUUAACACAUGCAAGUCGAGCGAUGAAGCCGGAGCUUGCUCUGGUGAAUUAGUGGCGAACGGGUGAGUAACACGUGAGUAACCUGCCCUUGACUCUGGGAUAACUGCGGGAAACUGUAGCUAAUACCGGAUACGACCAUCGGAGGCAUCUCCUGGGGGUGGAAAGAAUUUCGGUCAAGGAUGGACUCGCGGCCUAUCAGCUAGUUGGUGAGGUAAAGGCUCACCAAGGCGACGACGGGUAGCCGGCCUGAGAGGGUGACCGGCCACACUGGGACUGAGACACGGCCCAGACUCCUACGGGAGGCAGCAGUGGGGAAUAUUGCACAAUGGGCACAAGCCUGAUGCAGCAACGCCGCGUGAGGGAUGACGGCCUUCGGGUUGUAAACCCCUUUUAGCAGGGAAGAAGCGAAAGUGACGGUACCUGCAGAAAAAGCACCGGCUAACUACGUGCCAGCCGCCGCCGUAA
rnacentral:rRNA from 1 species